CUCACUCCUCUCUCUUGCGAUUGUUCUCUCCUGUAGAGAGAGAUAGAAACUGACUUUAACGAAAAUGAGGCAUCAAAAAGCUACAAUCUUCGUUUGUCUGAUAUGCAUUGUUAUCGCCGGGGUCGGAGGUCAAUCUCCGGCUAAUCCUCCGACGGCCACUCCGGCUCCUCCUACACCUACUACUCCUUCUCCCCCUACUAGCACCCCUGCUCCUCCAACUACCACUCCUCCCCCGGCUUCAGCUCCUCCUCCAGUAACCCAAUCUCCACCUCCCGCUACUCCUCCUCCUGUUUCAACACCACCACCGGCUACUCCCCCUCCUGUCAGCUCUCCACCCCCUGCAUCUCCUCCACCCGCAACUCCACCUCCAGCCACUCCUCCACCAGC
rnacentral:misc_RNA from 1 species